UACGGAAGGGGCUAGCGUUGUUCGGAAUUACUGGGCGUAAAGAGCGCGUAGGCGGCUUACCAAGUUGGGGGUGAAAUCCCGGAGCUCAACUCCGGAACUGCCCUUGAUACUGAGGAGCUUGAGUCCGGGAGAGGUGAGUGGAACUCCGAGUGUAGAGGUGAAAUUCGUAGAUAUUCGGAAGAACACCAGUGGCGAAGGCGGCUCACUGGCCCGGUACUGACGCUGAGGUGCGAAAGCGUGGGGAGCAAACAGG
rnacentral:rRNA from 1 species